AUGGUGAGAUCUACGAGCCCCGCCACAAAUGGAGACCAGUCCUGUAGAACAGACGACAGGGAGGGAAUGGAUGAAGACAAGGCAACAGUGACACCACAGCCGAAGAGUAAGGGAAUAAAGCAAAUACCCAAUAAAACCAAGCUCCUGGAGAGAUCUGGAGAGGAAGAAAUAGCUUCCAUUCAGAUCUGGACUGUGGAGCAUUUUCAAGAUUUGCAGCAGCUAGCGUUCAAUAGGCAGCAGAUAAAACUAAGUGACAGUAGAUCAAGAUGCAGAGCUCCCUUCAAUCCAAACAGCGGUCAGCCAGGGAUCGAAGCGGCUCCUCGGUCAUGCAAACCACAAGCCUAUCUCCUCGCUUUCAGAGAUAGGAUAGUGGGAACCAUGAACAAGCAGCUGCACAAACCCUUCGGUAGACCCUUCAUUGGAAUGAUAGGAGCUCCACCUCAAAACCAAAUCCAAAACAAACCACACAGAUCAAAGAAAACCAAGCAAAACAAGAUCUGUGCUGUGGUUCACAAGCGGAAACCAAGAACAAAGAGCACGACCAUCCAUGGAGGAUAUGCUGGCAAGAACUUGGUAGACAAUAGGCCACAUCUAUGGGGCUAG
rnacentral:rRNA from 1 species